AGCAGUAACGGGAGUCCAGGGCGUGGAGAAGAGAUAGGUAAGGCACCCAGAACGAGCCCACGGUAUCUGAGUUGUUAUGGUACCCUCGUCUAACUCGAGUCUCGAAGCGCGCCAUCAAUCAUCACCACUGCACCAAUAACCCACUCACGCACGAAUCCUCGAAGCUCCAGCCGCACCAGCGCAUUCACUCGAGGAUUCGUGACUCCACACCGAGGCUUCACCCAUCAUUCAAUUGAAUGUCACGAAGCCUCACACUUCGCGGACUCAUCUCGCCCGCCGAGGUUAUAAAUAGAUCUCCACAAGCUAACCCCGGCAGUCUCAACCAAAGGCAGCUCACUUCCCGAGGACGCAAGGACUCUUCACUUGUGAGCUAACCAGGAUUUACCAAGGGCGCCCACCAAGUCGCUUCCCACAGCGGGUUGAGAAGCCUCGGUGGUUCAGUCGACCGAGGCGUCGAACGGCGUCAGGCGAACGAGCAGCGGGAGUGUAGCAGGUGGUUCGCUGCGCCUCGGUAAUUGAACGGCUUUGAACGGCAAGAUGCGGGCGGGCGGCAGGAGUGCCCCGGUCGUUCGCCUGCUAAAGGAUGCUGCUGUACGGCAGCAAACCUUUACAACAGAGUUGAAUAUCCUUAGACUCUGGACCCUUGCUGUGAACCUUCAGUAUGACCUUCAGUAUCACCUUGGACUCAGGUGUGUGUGGGUGUAUGGCUGGACCCGCACGUCUUCGACUUCUUCAGGUAUGUAGGUAUACUACCUUUUACCAUUUAUUUGUUCAUUUACACAUUGGAAGUGCUGCCAGGCUUCCUCCAAGCUUAUUUUAAUGAAAUUUUAUCGCGGCUUUCAUUUAUCCGCCCUUGCUCUUCGCCGAUUACUGUACACGUGAUGUCGCUAGCUGCCUCGAAAAGAGAGACUGGGAUGAGGAGUUGCUGUGAAUACGAUGCCUUUUUAUCUGGGUCUGGAUCUGGAUGAUAAUGCGCAGGGCACCUUUUUAGGUGCAUAACACAUAUCCACUGCACUCAGACCCGUAUAUUAAUCGUGGUUCACUAAUGCAGUUUCGUUAUGUUCAAAGGAGAUAAUUCAAGUAAUGACGACAUAUAGCGAGAAGGUAGACGCUGCUGAGGUUGUGUUUAAAGUGACUAGAACGAGAUAACUGUCGAGGCAGCAGAGAAGGGGAAAAGUAAUCGAGGAGCCGGGUGGAGGAUGUCGGUGUACCUGUGCCACCCACUCAUCCUCCACCGUUUGGUGCGUGCUGUUGUUCCGUAUUCACCUGUCUUCUCACAACAACCCAGUUUCAUUUCAAGAAUCACCCCAAAGUGGGUGAUUUUACUUGCUUCAUAAACAAACUGUUACUUUUCCUCAUUUGUAAUUUUGACUAAUUCCCGUAACGCCCAUUCUUUACUAAAACUUGUCCUCUGGUCCCACCCGCUGGUUCAGAACGCUCAAAAAUGUUACUCUGCGAGGAAAAAAAGUUGUUUGCAGGUAAUGGAGGAUUGGAGUUGGAUGUGGUUGAGGGAUUGUGGGUGGA